CAUGUGUAGCAGAUAUUAGUGAGUGCACAACACAUUAGUUAGGGUUUUGAAUUAUUGCUACAGGUUAGUGAUGUUAGAGAUUGUGUUAUGAGAAAUGUGUAGAUUGAAUUAUGUCUGUGUUUGAUUGUGACACCUUUGAUUGUGCAUGAAAUUGCUGGUUAUAUGAGAUUUUGUUGAUUGUAGACAAAUAAGUUUGAACAUAACUUAUUAGAUUUGAAAGUUUGCCAUUAAUGUAUUUGAUUUUAAAUUUCGAAUCUGUAAAUUGGUACCAUGUCGGUUGGUUUUGCUUGGUAAGGUUAGACUUUCCUAAUAAGUUUGCUUGAUUUACGGGAUUAGAUAUUAGUGAUUUGAUUUUCAGAUUUUAAAUUUUAAAUUUUGAAGUUAAUCAUUAUUCUAAAUUUAAAUUUUGAAAUAAACCAUUAUUGUGUUUGAUUUUAAAUUUUCAAUUUCGAAGUCAAUUAUUAUGUUAAAUUUAAAUUUGAAAGUUUGCCAUUAAUGUGUUUGAUUUUAAAUUUCGAAUCUGUAAAUUGAAUUUAAAUUUGAAAAGUUAGUCUUUCCUAAUAAGUUUGCUUGAUUUACGGGAUUGGAUAUUAGUAUACUUUGUUUAUUGGGUUUUAACUAAUAAUUUGAUUGACUCGGUUGUUAGAUUUGUGACGAUGCGUCGGACAAACAACAUUGGGAAAAUAUACAGCCUUGAGCCUUGGUAAGUUAACACAUUAGUUAAGGUUAUGAUGUUUUUUCAUGGCACCGACACAUUAUUGAGUAGUAGCGCAUUAGGUUAGUGAUAUUAAAAUUUGUGCCUUGAGAAAUUUUGUAUAUUGAUUUAUGUUUGAAAUUGAUUGUGAGGUAUUAGAUAAGAUGUGUUUGAAGUUGUGAAGAUGAAUAAGUGAGACAUGUGUAGCAGAUAUUAGUGAGUGCACAACACAUUAGUUAGGGUUUUGAAUUAUUGCUACAGGUUAGUGAUGUUAGAGAUUGUGUUAUGAGAAAUGUGUAGAUUGAAUUAUGUCUGUGUUUGAUUGUGACACCUUUGAUUGUGCAUGAAAUUGCUGGUUAUAUGAGAUUUUGUUGAUUGUAGACAAAUAAGUUUGAACAGAACUUAUUAGAUUUGAAAGUUUGCCAUUAAUGUGUUUGAUUUUAAAUUUCGAAUCUGUAAAUUGAAUUUAAAUUUGAAAGGUUAGACUUUUCUAAUAAGUUUGCUUGAUUUACGGGAUUGGAUAUUAGUGAUUUGAUUUUCAGAUUUUAAAUUUUGAAGUCAAUCAUUAUUUUAAAUUUAAAUUUUGAAGUAAUGGCAAUCUGAGUCUGAUUUUUUUCGUGAUUAAUAUCCGCUUGAGUAACCCAAUCUGAGUCUGACUUUUUUCGUUAACGAUUCUGGUAAACUUUCCCGAUUUGGGUUUUCUGCAAGGCUAAUCAUCUAAAUUAAUUUGUUAUUUUUAUGGUUUACCAUUGCAUAAGUUAGUAUAAUUUGUUGACAAAGUUUUAUUUUGUGGGAUAGUAGUCAUAAAUUGAGUAAUAUUCAAGGUUUAUGUGUUUUUAUUUUGAUUCAUUAAAUAAGAUGUGUUUGAGUAAUAUUCAAGGUUUAUGUAUAUAUGAGAUUUUGUUGAUUGGCAUAAGGUGUUAGAUAAGAUGUGUUUGAAGUUGUGAAGAUGAAUAAGUGAGACAUGUGUAGCAGAUAUUAGUGAGUGCACAACACAUUAGUUAGGGUUUUGAAUUAUUGCUACAGGUUAGUGAUGUUAGAGAUUGUGUUUUGAGAAAUGUGUAGAUUGAAUUAUGUUUGUGUUUGAUUGUGACACCUUUGAUUGUGCAUGAAAUUGCUGGUUAUAUGAGAUUUUGUUGAUUGUAGACAAAUAAGUUUGAACAAUUAGAUUCACAUUUAAGUAUAAAAAUGAGAGGUUGUUAUAAUCUGAAUUAUAUUCUGA
rnacentral:lncRNA from 1 species